ensembl:lincRNA
CUGUUCCCUAUUUGGACUCAGUUACGUUUGUUGCUGGGAUGAAGAUGAGUCUUCCAGACAGAGAUGAAGAAAGAUAACAACUAGAGACGGAUAGAGUCAGCAGAGGGGAUUCUCCCUUUUCUAUAUAUGUAUUUCUUAUCUUCCAAGGCUCCACAUAAAACCCCUUUCUCAGCCAGGCGCGAUGGCUAACGCCUGUAAUCCCAGCACUCUGGGAGGCCGAGCGGGCAGAUCACAAGGUCAGGAUAUCGAGACCAACCUGGUUAACACGGUGAAACCCCGUCUCUACUAAAAAUACAAAAAUUAGCCAGGCAUGGUGGCGGGCGCCUGUAGUCCCAGCUACUUGGGAGGCUGAGGCAGGAGAAUGGCAUGAACACGGGAGGCGGAGCUUGCAGUGAGCCGAGAUCGCGCCACUGUACUCCAGCCUUUGCGGACAGAGCGAGACUCCGUCUCAAAAACAAAAACAAAAAACAAAAAACCCUUCUCCAAGAAACUUCCUCUUGGACAUUUGAUCUCUUGAGCACUUGCAGUUAGCACCACACCACAGUUGAAGAAUUGCCAGCAAGAAGAAGAGCUCUCUUGAGGAUACCUUCCCUAUGCCAAAUUGGACUGGAAUCCAGAAAGUUGAUGUGGUGUAUGGGUGGUAGGCUCCUGUGCCCCACAGAGACUGAGGCUGGAGAGUGAAUUUGCAGGAGCGAAUGGAAACUACCCAGCCUAUAUCAGGAGCUUUGCAGACCACUGCGAGGUGGCAGGAGGUAGAAGGCUGUGCUUCUCCUUGACCUUCUGUCAAUUGGCAACCUUCAUCGCAGGUCUUCAGCUACCCUGUUUCUAUUUUUAAUCAAAUGGGAAUUUGACAUUGUUGUCUUUGGGACCAAUACAUUUCUUCUAUCUGCAUAUCUGGGUAGAAGCUCUCAUGGAAGAAAAAAGAAAAGCCCCAUAGGUGAAGGGGAGUGUGCCUGCCAAGUUCCUUGUAAUAACUUCACAUGCAGAGUAUUUUCUGAAAUGGAUCUGCUGGAGUCAUCUCAUGGAAUCUUCUCAUUCUUCUGGAGUCUCCUCAUUUUACAGACGCUGAAGGAAAAACACCAGCUGAGGAAGAAUGAAGAACUGCCUGUUCUAAGUUAUUCUUCUGUGGUCAUUCGAGCACCAGGAAGACCAGGUUUGCCCCAUCAAGUACCUCAAGAAAGAAGUCAAUUACCUAAAGAAGUCAAGCAAAGAGGAAAGGACAAAAUGAAAAUCAUGUACCAGCGUACACGUCGAGGCUCCAAGCUGGAAUGAAUAUGGCCUUCAACAUACUCUUUAUCAUACAGAAGCUUGUGUUCAGGGCUUGGAUUUUGAAGUCAGACAGACCUGGAUUAAAAACCAAUUCAACUACCUAUUACAUAUGUGACCUAGGUAAGAUCUAACCUCUCUGUGCCUCAGUCUACUCCUUUGCUAAAUGGGCAUUAGGAGCACAGAUUUUGAGGCAGUCAGUGUUGGAUUUCAACCUCAGCUCCACUACUGACUGUGUCAAAAGGGCAAGUUAAUGAACCUCCAAUGUUAAUUUCUUCUUCUCUAAAGAGGAAGUGAUUACAUAGGUCCAUUGAAGGACUGUUUGGGGGACUGGUUGAGAUAAGAUAUAAAAUGCACAUGCACAGUGCUCAGGAAAAUUUUUGUGAACUUCUUACAUAUCUCCUCUUAAGCUCCAGGACAGUGGCUCUCAAAGCGUGGUCCCUGGACCAGCAGCAUCAGCUUUAUCUGGGGAACUGUGAGAAAUGCAGAUUCUCAGGUCCCACCCCAGACUCACUGAAUCAGAAACUCUGAGGGUGGUCCCAGCACUCUGUUUUAACAAGCCCUCCAAGAGAUUAUGGUGGAUGCUAAAAUUUGAGAAUCUCUGCUCUUGGGGCUAGUUCAGAAUGCACCUGAGACUUGGCCGGGCGCGGUGGCUCAUGCCUGUAAUCCCAGCACUUUGGGAGGCCGAGGCGGGCAGAUCACGAGGUCAGGAGUUCGAGACCAGCCUGGCCAACAUGAUGAAACCCUGUCUCUACUAAAAAUACAAAAAUUAGCUGGGCGUGGUGGAGGGCGCCUGUAGUCCCAGCUACUUGGGAGGCUGAGGCAGGAGAAUCGCUUGAACCCAGGAGGUGGAGGUUGCAGUGAGCCGAGAUCCCACCAUUGCACUCCAGCCUGGGGGACAAGAGCCAGACUCCGUCUCAAAAAAUAAAAAAAAACAAAGAAUGCACCUGAGACUUUCAGUCCACACACAACUGCUGUGGGUUCCCAAGAACCUGUUCAGUGCCAUGAUUCUUUAAAGUGAGUUCUCCUCUCAUUGUUUUCUGCACCCAAACGGAAGAAAUACUUCAAUUCUCAGGAUUUCCCUCUGACACUAGGUAACAUCUUCUAUAUGCUUCCUUUACUCCAGGCAUUCUGAUAAUAGUUUCACAUAGAUUAUUUCAAUUUAUCUCUGCA